UACGUAGGGUGCAAGCGUUGCCCGGAUUUAUUGGGCGUAAAGGGCGCGCAGGCGGCUACGCACGUCCGUUGUGAAAUCGCUCGGCUCAACUGGGCGGGGUCGGCGGAUACGGCGUAGCUGGAGCAAGCUAGGGGGCAAUGGAAUUCCCCGGUGUAGUGGUGGAAUGCGUAGAUAUCGGGAGGAACACCAGUGGCGAAGGCGGUUGCCUGGAGCUUUGCUGACGCUGAGGCGCGAAAGCGUGGGGAGCGAGUCGG
rnacentral:rRNA from 1 species